AGCUUCCUGUUCCUUUUCCUGCCCCUUGGCUUCCUUUUGGUGGAUGGUUCGAAAGUGUGGGCAAAUUUAGGCCAACCCCACCACUGUGCUAAUCCAAUGAUUAACCCUGUCUCUCUCUGUUACAGCUAAGGGAAAAUGGCCAGUGAGCAAGCAGCGGCAUUUGUUCCUGCUCUCUCCAUAGGACACUGGUUUAUUCUCUCCAAACACCUGGGAAACAAGAAGGCAUGAAAACAGAGGUGGGGAAACAUUAAUCAGCUUAAUUUAAUGCUCGCACGUGUGUUAGGAGUCCAGCACUGCUUCUUCCACUCCAAGUUCUUAAGUAAAGACUACAGAUGUAGACUGCAGAACUCCAUAUGACCCUAGAUGGUAGCAAAGAGACAUAACACUCCAAGUCUGUGCUGCAAUGUAAUGGUCCUCCUGAUUUUUUGUAGCCCAGAUUUGGUAGCUCUGCAUACUUAAAUCAUUUUCCAGCAAGGAAUGUCUUGGCUACUGAAUUUCUAUCUGACAGGUGGCUACUAAUGUCACACAGGAAAGGAGUCUACAUUCAGUUCAUCUAUGGAGGACCCAAGGCUGCUGUAUUGGAAGAAGUUCUGCUGCAGUUGACAGGGCUAGGCCAGGAUCUACCCACCACAGAGCUUGCAAAAGGACUGAGUGCAAUAUCAUAACCGUUAGGCCUCUUCUGGUGAUGGUUGUUGCAACUGAGGAGCCCAUGGUGCCUGACACCAGCUUGAAAAACAUCACACAAUGGACACAAACCUACCACAGCAUCAUGAAGAGCUCUGAAAGGAGGAAGGCAAAACUUCUCCCCUUUCUCCCAGGAAGUACAAGGGGAGGAGAGAAAAGGGAGCAGAAGUAUUGGGCUAGAUCUAAUACAAUCUAGAUGAGCCUCAAGCUGUCCCAUGCAUGAAACAGCCUAAAUUGGCAUAAGUUGUUAUAUUAUUAUAUUGGUAUAAAUGUAAAAUUCAAGUCAACACUAAACAAGGGGAAACUAAAGAUCCUAACCUAACUCAGAAAGUCAAACAUGAUAGGCAUCACUAAAAUGUGAGAUAUUAUUCAUGAUUGGCACACAGCCCUGGAAGUCUAUAAUUUAUUCAAAAGGUACAGAUCCUGGGUGGGGUAAGUUACACUGUAUGUAGUGACAAAAGUAUUCUUGCACAGAAAUCCAAGAAUCCGAGCAUGGAAAUUCUGUUGGAAGGCGAGAAAAACUAACAUGAUGCUGUUGUAGGAGUUUAUAAAGCGGUCAUGAUAUCCAGAGGAAGAGGAAUUGAGAACAGUCAGACCUGCACAUUGGACUUCAGAAGAGCUGGUUUUGAUGAACUUCUAGGGAAGAUUCCAUUUGGGGUACUGUGCAGUUCUGGGCAUCACAGUUCAAAGAGGACAAAUUGGUGAAAACUCAGAGAGGGACUACCAAGAAUACUCUGGAUCCCAAACCCUACGAGGAACGGCUAAAGGAUUUAGAGUGGUUCAGUAUUGAAAAAUUGUGGCUUUUGACAACCUGAAUGUAAUAAUCACUCAAGUCCUAAGGGCAGUAUUUUCAAGUACGAACCUUGGCAAUAAAAAGCACGCAGUAUACAAGGAAAAGUUCACAGCUCGACAGGCCAGGCACCAGCUGAAAGUGGUUUUCUUCACGCUGGUGUCCACUGGAAGGGAGAUAACUGACCUUGGAGGAAGCUUGAGGUUAAGCGUGUAUCCUAAGAGCCCGGUUCUUAUUAUUGGAUCCUUUAAACUGCAAAAUGUUUUGAUCUUCUUAUGCUUUAAAGAAUGUGAACACGAGAAAUUGCAUUGGCUGAACCUAAGGAGCUCAUCAGCCUCACUGGGUUUUCUUGUGAACCAAUGGAGUGUCUGCUAGGCAGCAGAUCUUCCCUUCCAGCAUGAAGGAGACUUCUUGGCCACUCGUUUAUGCUGGCUUCAAAGAACUGCAUCGGGAAAAACCAGCCAUUUUCUCUCUUUUCAAAGAAAAGAAGCCUCAGAGUUGGGUGGGGAUGGACAAAGAAGCAAAAGGAAGGAGGAAAAAAAAGAACUUUCUGACAGUAUCCCAAAGACUUGUGUCACUCUAAAUACUAAUUUUUAAUUUUUGUGGUUUUGUAGCCCACAAAUAAUUAAUCUUUAAGGGGACAUAAGACUUUCUUCCUGACCUGCUCCUCAGACAGACGAUUCCAUAUGUCUAAGUGUUUUGCUUAGAAUUCUAAGGCACAGGCCUCUGUGUAUUAUAUUUUAUAUAUCUCCAAACCAAAAAAAAAAACACCUUAGUAAUUAUUAAAAAUGGUAGCAUUGAACAUCAUCAUUCUGCAACUUGGUUAAAGAAUACAAAACAAUGUCUGCAAGAGUCGACUAUGAUUGCCUUUUAACCACUCGGUAUGGUCUUACAACUUCCAUACUGCAGCAUUUAUAAUGUACACCAUACAGUAUAUGAGGAAAAUGAUGGUCUUUUUGACUGAGAGUCAAGGAAAAAAUAGCUAAAAUGUGUUUGAUGAGUAUUUAAAUGUAUAACUGGUUCAGUAAGAAAACAGAGAUAACAUGCGUGCUUCAAAAUUAAAACAAACAAAGAAAGCAGCUUGCUGACCAAUUCGUGAAUAGGCUUUGGAUCAAUAACCAAAGAUAAGACAUUUAAAAUGUAGAAAAUCCCCAUAUUUUCUAUGCCACAUCUUGUUGGUCUGCCUCAGGAUUCACUCAUGAACACUAAUAAGAACGUCUUAUUAGGGAAGGGAAGCAUAUCUUUGUUUCUUGCUGAAGUGGGGCCUUUUGACAACAAUUCUUCCUCAUGAUGCUCGUAUGCAUUUUCAGAUGCAAGUUUGUAAAGUAAGCAGAACAUGAGGUUGGGAAGUAUACCAAGUAUCCCAAGAAAAACAGUCCUUAGAUUGCCAUUUGCCUAACUUUGAACACUAAAGCAUACCUGGUUGCUAUUUCCUGGUUUUUAUGCUUUCCCUACACCUGGGUUUUUCAAAGUGCAUUUUUGCUGGCUAUGAAUAAUUCAAGCCGGUUUCACUUUUACUGCCAAAAUGUAUUGAUAAGUUUCUAAUACCAUGUGUAAAAAUGCCAGAGAAACAAGACGGGCUUUACCAGUGCUCUAUCAUAUAUAGUACAUCGAAUAGGAAUAAUCCUGAAUACAAAAUUGUGGCUCGCUAUGAGACUUUGUGGUUCGGAAGUGUCGUUAAACAGCAGCAGAAAAGCAAAUCGCUCUGUAGUUACUGCUCCUAAAAGGCCCUUGGGGAGAAGCCUUUGUUUGUUUUUAAUUUAAAAGCAUUAACAGAAAGUUCCAGCCAGAGCCACAUCAUUGGAAUUCCAAUAAGAAAAUAUUCAGCCCAAUUUAAUUUUGCAAGCGUGUCACAAGGUCAUGAUUCAGGAUUUAGACUGUUCACACAGAAGGAUUCCUAAGGGAGGAAAAAGGAGAUUCUUAACACUAACAGAGAGCUGAACCAAUGAGGAAGAAAGAGAGAGAAGACAGACAGACAGACAAAAGACAAGGUCCUCAGGGCCAUCUUCAGAGGACCCCUCCCCACUACUGAUUCAUAAUGCUAUCUACCCAUCCAAGAGUCAGCAGAAAACAGUGUCUGCUAUAAAGUGGCUCUUCCCACUGCCAGUGCCUCUACUGGGCCUGUUCCUAGUCCCUGACAAAUGGUACUGUCCUGAUUUGUGAAAGUUUCCCUUGCUAUAGGCAAGAUGACAAGUUUUCUUCUUCGGCUUCGCUGCUCUUCUCUUUCAGCAUGUCACCACCCAGUGAGGAACACAUCAAGCAACUGGGGCCAGGGUCAUCCAUGGGGAGCUCAAAGUCAGGAUGGUGGUCACGACCAUUAAUCAGAGCCCCACCUCACAAAAGUCAAGAUGGCAGCCAUGGCCGUGGGAUAAAGCUUUUUGACACACACACACACACACACACACACACACACGUGUGAAUGCCCAGAUUGGGGCACUGCAGCAGGAAUGGGAUAGAUCACACGUUGGGAUUCUGCCUGUUUGCCUAGGCUGAGCUGUACCCUAUUUGGACAUCUUAAAAUAAUAUAAAAUAAAGUUUUCUGAGCUUCUGCUCUUGAUAUGUG